GACGAACGCUGGCGGCGUGCUUAACACAUGCAAGUCGAACGGAAAGGCCCUUCUUUUGUGGGGUGCUCGAGUGGCGAACGGGUGAGUAACACGUGAGUAACCUGCCCUUGACUUUGGGAUAACUUCAGGAAACUGGGGCUAAUACCGGAUAGGAGCUCCUGCUGCAUGGUGGGGGUUGGAAAGUUUCGGCUGUUGGGGAUGGACUCGCGGCUUAUCAGCUUGUUGGUGGGGUAGUGGCUUACCAAGGCUUUGACGGGUAGCCGGCCUGAGAGGGUGACCGGCCACAUUGCGACUGAGAUACGGACCAGACUCCUACGGGAGGCAGCAGUGGGGAAUAUUGCACAAUGGGCGGAAGCCUGAUGCAGCAACGCCGCGUGCGGGAUGACGGCCUUCGGGUUGUAAACCGCUUUCGCCUGUGACGAAGCGUGAGUGACGGUAAUGGGUAAAGAAGCACCGGCUAACUACGUG
rnacentral:rRNA from 1 species